rnacentral:rRNA from 1 species
GAUGAACGCUGGCGGCGUGCCUAAUACAUGCAAGUCGAGCGAAUGGAUUAAGAGCUUGCUCUUAUGAAGUUAGCGGCGGACGGGUGAGUAACACGUGGGUAACCUGCCCAUAAGACUGGGACAACUCCGGGAAACCGGGGCUAAUACCGGAUAACAUUUUGAACCGCAUGGUUCGAAAUUGAAAGGCGGCUUCGGCUGUCACUUAUGGAUGGACCCGCGUCGCAUUAGCUAGUUGGUGAGGUAACGGCUCACCAAGGCAACGAGGCGUAGCCGACCUGAGAGGGUGAUCGGCCACACUGGGACUGAGACACGGCCCAGACUCCUACGGGAGGCAGCAGUAGGGAAUCUUCCGCAAUGGACGAAAGUCUGACGGAGCAACGCCGCGUGAGUGAUGAAGGCUUUCGGGUCGUAAAACUCUGUUGUUAGGGAAGAACAAGUGCUAGUUGAAUAAGCUGACACCUUGACGGUACCUAACCAGAAAGCCACGGCUAACUACGUGCCAGCAGCCGCAGUAA